CAGUAAUUACUGUGUCAAAUGUGGUUUCUAAAUAGUCUUCACCUAAGAUGCCAUAAUCAAGGCAUCAGUACCAGGACAUUUCAUUCUGGAACACUACAGAAACAGCCUCCCACACAAUAAAGCACUAGAAUACUGAAAACAAGAAAUUGGGAUCACUCUGCACAGGAAAAUACUUUAGGAAGAGGAAUGCAGGGCAUGGAAAACAGUUGACAUCCCUGUGUCUUGUCCUUGUCUCUGGCUCCACAGGUGGCAGGGUGGAGAGAGCUCUUCCUUUGGCCCACAUGAGGAGAAAAGAGCUGAUUGCCAGUGCCAAAGGAACACAGGACUGGUCCAACCUUUUACAUCCAAAUAAGAUCUGACACUGCAAGACCACAGGCUACCUGGCUGAGGGAGAGCAGUUGGUCAGCAAGAAGCACCAAGUGAUGGGAAAGGAAAAUUUGGCAAAUGGUCAGGGAAGAUUUUACUUGUCAAAAAAAAAAAAAAAUCCUUUGGAUCAUGACAGCUGGAUCAUGGCUGAUUUACGAACAGCAGCAAAAAGCCAUCUUAACACCAAUCUAACCAACUACACAGACAGUGAUUUCACACCUUGGUAUGAGUUGGCACAGCA